rnacentral:rRNA from 1 species
CAGGUCUUGACAUCCUCUGAAAACCCUAGAGAUAGGGCUUCUCCUUCGGGAGCAGAGUGACAGGUGGUGCAUGGUUGUCGUCAGCUCGUGUCGUGAGAUGUUGGGUUAAGUCCCGCAACGAGCGCAACCCUUGAUCUUAGUUGCCGUCAUUAAGUUGGGCACUCUAAGGUGACUGCCGGUGACAAACCGGAGGAAGGUGGGGAUGACGUCAAAUCAUCAUGCCCCUUAUGACCUGGGCUACACACGUGCUACAAUGGACGGUACAAAGAGCUGCAAGACCGCGAGGUGGAGCUAAUCUCAUAAAACCGUUCUCAGUUCGGAUUGUAGGCUGCAACUCGCCUACAUGAAGCUGGAAUCGCUAGUAAUCGCGGAUCAGCAUGCCGCGGUGAAUACGUUCCC